AUUAAAGAACUUGUCCACAUGAGCUAAUAGAAGAAACAUAUAAUAGACAUGGGUCUUCUAGCUACAAGAAAUACUAAUACACAGAGAAGUAGACAAAAAACAAGUGAUUGAACAGAAAAAGCAAAGUCUAACACAAGUAAUUCUUAACUACAUGGAAUGGAUUAUGAAGACCUAGAAGAAAACUGAAAUCAUUGUGGUAUGUGAAGUUUACCUGCACAAUGAAGAUUUCAAGUCACACAAUUUUCUCCAUGAAGGUUCCCUACUGGAGGCUGAGGAAAGGAAGGUAAUUUGAAAGACUGAAUAAUUUUUCCUAGAAUGAUGAAGCAGUCUUUGAAGGUAUUGCUUUUAUUGAACUGAGUUGGU
rnacentral:lncRNA from 13 species